UGCAGGGCUCAUGUGGGGAAUUUUGCGUUGUCUAAGGACAAGCGCCGACGGCGGCUCCCUGGACGUUCAGGUUGAGGCGGGAUGGCGGUAUUGUGUCGGUUGUGGACAAAUCGUGCACGCGGAAAUUUUUACUGUUGUUCAGUCGUUUUCUUCGCGAGUUGUCCGCCUAUUUGUGUGGUGAGAACAAACGUCAAUGCGAGUGCUCGAGUGAGUUGUGCUGCAAGGACACAAGCGGUGCUACAUUAGUGAAAUGUGCAGACUCUAUCGAUAGAGAAACGUCGUGGAUGAAAGGAAGGCAACAACGUCACUAUGAUGGACUCGUACACUCCACUCUGGCAAGUUCCUCUGGCAAGGAUCAGCAAUCAGAUGCACUGUCACCACAGUUUAUGUACUACCGGCAAUCUCCUCUAUGCUGCUGCACAUUACAAAGACAAGGAUAUCAACCAUUCUAUUGAGAGAAGUGCUGCAAUAAGUUAAAACGGCGGCUGCUAACAUAGGAAGCGGUUAACAUCAUGGUGCAUAUUAAAGACGCCAUCUCCUAAAAGCCUUUGACUGCCAGGAUGUGAAAUGUUCCCAUCAAUGAUCUUGUAAUGCUUGCUAAAUUCAAAAACAUCUGUCUCUCUUAUGGAAGCCUGCAAGAAUAUACUGUUUUAGAAAAGCUGGCAUUUCUUUUGCUAGGUGUCUACAAAGACCUACUUAGGGACGUCAGUUCACCCUUGUGGACUCUAGUGGUCCAUGCAACCCUUGUUGAAUGCAAGCAAAAAUGGGAAGACAUGCAGCUGACUAGGGCAUGUCUCUGAGAGAACGUCCAAUGGAGCAAUAUUUGAAAGGGCGACAACUUGCAUACACUGAGGGCUCCCAUGAUAAAUAUGACCUAGAGACUAUCAAUCCCACAAAUGCUCCUCCAGUUGCUUUGAUCUUGACUGCCUUAAUCUUCAUAACCACGCAUGAAAUAAAGAACCAGGCACCUGUACCCUGUUGAACACACCCAAGUUUCUUUAGAACUCAGAACGUUAUUUCAAAGUGUUCCUUGACAAUGCACAUUGUAUGAGUGUCAAGAUUAAAGAAAUAAAAAAUUCACAA